AUUGAACGCUGGCGGCAUGCUUUAUACAUGCAAGUCGAACGGUAACGCGGGGGCAACCCUGGCGACGAGUGGCGAACGGGUGAGUAAUACAUCGGAACGUGCCCAGUAGUGGGGGAUAGCUCGGCGAAAGCCGAAUUAAUACCGCAUACGCCCUAAGGGGGAAAGCGGGGGAUCGAAAGACCUCGCGCUAUUGGAGCGGCCGAUGGCAGAUUAGCUUGUUGGUGGGGUAAAGGCUUACCAAGGCAACGAUCUGUAGCUGGUCUGAGAGGACGACCAGCCACACUGGGACUGAGACACGGCCCAAACUCCUACGGGAGGCAGCAGUGGGGAAUAUUGCACAAUGGGCGAAAGCCUGAUGCAGCAACGCCGCGUGAGCGAAGAAGGCCUUUGGGUCGUAAAGCUCUGUCGGGUAGGAAGAUAAUGACGGUACUACCCGAGGAAGCCCCGGCUAACUACGUG
rnacentral:rRNA from 1 species